GUACCAACAGUCUAAAGAAGAAACAUCAAUAAUUAUAAAAAUUCAUAUAGAAAAGGCAUUUGGCAAAAUUUGAUACCUGUUCAUCAUUAAAACUCUCAACAUAUUACAGUGCUACAAAAUUAAUUCAAUGAAGUAUAGCAUUUUCAACAAACUGUUGGAAGAAUUGAAAUUAAGAGGAAAAGCAGAAAACCAAAACCAAACAAAAACACCUCGAACCUUACAAAAUGCGGCGUUCUUUCCUGCUCCUUGAUACCACGGAAGCGUUCCGCACAAAGGGGAAGGUUUUGUCUGUAAAACCUGGAGCAGGCCUGUCACAGCCUGGAGUUGAGAGCAGAGGAGGAAAGGACAAGGAAUUAUGGGUGUAUUCACAGCCUCAUUCAAAUGCAAUAGAAAAACAAAUCAUAAUAAAACCACUUAAUAGAGCAAGACACA